AUUGAACGCUGGCGGCAUGCCUUACACAUGCAAGUCGAACGGCAGCAUGGAGAGCUUGCUCUCUGAUGGCGAGUGGCGAACGGGUGAGUAAAGCAUCGGAACGUACCGCGUAGUGGGGGAUAACGUAGCGAAAGUUACGCUAAUACCGCAUACGCACUGAGGUGGAAAGCAGGGGAUCGCAAGACCUUGCGCUAUACGAGCGGCCGAUGUCAGAUUAGCUAGUUGGUAGGGUAAAGGCCUACCAAGGCGACGAUCUGUAGCGGGUCUGAGAGGAUGAGCCGCGACGCUGGGACUGAGACACGGCCCAGACUCCUACGGGAGGCAGCAGUGGGGAAUGUUGGACAAUGGGGGAAACCCUGAUCAAGCCAUGCCGCGUGAGUGAAGAAGGCCUUCGGGUUGUAAAGCUCUUUCGGCUGGAAGAAAUCGCACAGGCUAAUACCCUGUGUGGAUGACGGUACCAGCAUAAGAAGCACCGGCUAACUACGUGCCAGCCGCCGCCGUAA
rnacentral:rRNA from 1 species